UUAUUUUUGAAAUCAAUUAAUGAUGAUGGACUGUAAAUCC
rnacentral:tRNA from 1 species